rnacentral:rRNA from 1 species
CACGUAGGGCGCAAGCGUUGUCCGGAAUUAUUGGGCGUAAAGAGCUCGUAGGCGGUCUGUUGCGUCUGCUGUGAAAACCCGGGGCUUAACCCCUGGCUUGCAGUGGAUACGGACAGACUAGAGGUAGGUAGGGGAGAAUGGAAUUCCCGGUGUAGCGGUGAAAUGCGCAGAUAUCGGGAGGAACACCGGUGGCGAAGGCGGUUCUCUGGGCCUUACCUGACGCUGAGGUGCGAAAGCG